CUCAACAAAAUCGACAAAAUUGAGAUUUGUCUACACUUCAACACAUUCGACCUUCAAAAUGAGUCACUUUGGCUGCUUAGCUCAAUAGAUUACAUAGCUAACAACUUAAAAACAUACACAAAAAUUUUGAACAAAAAAUAUAUUUAAGUUCAGAAGCUACAAAAAAUAUCGUGAACUAUAUAUACAACUUGAACACAAACAAAUGCGUUUUCCAAAUGCAUUUUGUUGAGCAUUACUUUUAGAGUGAAAAACUUCAAUUUCUUAAAUCCAACUUUACAAUUUGCAAUCAUCAACUAUCAGGCCUUCCAUCUGUAUUCUUCUAUUGCUACAUCUCCAAUUCCAUAUUACCAUUAGCUGCGUCUUCUUUAGUGAAUAACAACGAAAACAACACAACAAGAUGACGAUUAAAGACGGUACUUUUCCAACAAUCUUCUAAAGAUACUAAUCAAAACAAUAUUUUCAAUAUUCAACAAGAGGAUCAGUUAUAAUGAAUCAUUCACCAGCUUAACAUCCAAAUAUGGAAUGCAAAUCAGAUGACAAUAAAUAAACAUCAUUUCCUCUUGGUUCCUCAUGUGUUGACCAAAUAUAUCCACAGAUCACUGAUCAGUCUAAGUUCCCACUCCUACACUAUAUAUUACAAGUCAUAAAACAGUUAUGGGCAUCAGUUCUCCAAGGUUGAUAGCAUCAAUGAAAGAUUCAGACGCAAAUUACCCAUUUACGAUAUAUAAGAUUUCAUCAUUAGCCCAUAAAACUAACAAUCAAAACUUGAAUAAACACAAAAGGAAGAGGAUUAAUCAUUUAACGAUCAGAACCUGUCGGGAUUCACACUUUACAUCAUGAAAUGUAUUUCAGUGGAUUGACAGACUUAUGAAUUCUAUCAUCACGUCGUAUUCGAAUGGAACGUAAAAAAAUUUAACAGGGCUCAGAACUUCUUAGAGGGUAGUGUAAGCCAUCACAGACCAAAGUCUCCGACACAAGAUAUUUUUCAUCAUAGCACCAAAAAAUAACCAUUAAAACAAAUAAAGCUUCGCAAUAGGACUCAGUUUAUGGGUGGUGAUAUAUCAGAAUGGUCGGCAAGGUGGUUUUAAACACCAUUACGACGAACGAGACCAAUAGAUAUAAGUCGUCACAGUCCAUUAACCAUUUCAAUUUUUCAAAAAAAACAAAUCAUAUGCAUUUAACACAAAAGAAAACAAAGAGUCAUCAGAUAGGAGCGAAAGACUAUAAAGAUUGUUUUAUAAUCACAAAAAAAUAUCAUUUGAACUAUGCUUUUAAUCAUCAUCUGACCCAUAUAUAUAUAUAUAACAAAGCAAAAACAGAUUUUGAAAAGCAUAAAAUAUAAUUGGCCUCAUAGAGAAGAUUAGGUAUUCAACAUAAUGAAAAUUCAGUCAUAUGCUUGUCUAUAAAAGAAAUUUAAUCAUUGGCCACUGAUAAGCAAACAAAUAAUCAAAAAGAUCAAAACUUUAUCAUAGAUAUAACAAUACCAGUAUAAUUGGGGAUAUAGCAAUUUGUUCGAGGCCGUAAUCAAUACGAGAAAAAAGAUUGAAAGGCACGGAGAAUCGCUAUACAUAUAGCCAACCUUCAAUGCAAAUAUCUGUCAUUUUUGAAGGACACCAUUGCUCUGCAAAUUGGCUUGUAUCACAAAUUUAACAGUAUAGGGAUAAGAUAUAGCAAUUUGUUCGAGGCCAUAAUCAAUACAAGAAAAAAGCUUGAAAGGCACGGAGAAUUGCUAUGUAUAUAGCCAACCUUCAAUGCAAAUGAGUGUCAUUUUUGAGAGACACCUUUGCUCUGCUAAUUGGCAUACAAAGUAAAAAAAAGUUUUAAAGGGCAUCAGUUCUCCAAGGUGAUAACAUCAAAGAAUGAUUCAGACGCAAAUUACCCAUUUACGAUAUAAAAAUUUCAUCAUUUGCCCAUAAGAUAAAGAAAUUAACAAAGCAAAAAUCAGAAUUAACGGAGGAUUAAUUAACUAAUAAACGAUCAGAACCUGUCGAGAUUCACUUUGAACAUCAUAAAAAUGUAAUUCAGUGAAUUAACAUAUGAAUUCUAUCUUCACUUCAUUCAAUUACUAUUACUCACUACUCACUUAAAAUACUGAUAUUGAAAACAAAAAAAAGAAGUGCUCAGAACUUCUUAGAGGGUUGUGUAAGCCAUCAACGACGAUAAGUCUCCGACACAAGGAAUUUUUCAUCACAGCACAAAAAAAUGGUGAAUUGAAUUGAAAAAUUAACAAAACAGUAUGAUAAUGGGACUCAGUUUAUGGGUGGUGAUAUAUCAGAAUGGUCGGCAAGGUGAUUUAAACACCAUUACGACGAACGAGACCAAAUAGAUAAAUCGUCAUUGUCCAUUAACCAUUUCAAUUUUUCAAUAUACACAACAAUCAAUGGCUUAAAAAUUAGAUUUUAAUACUAAUAUGAAGAGUCAUCAGAUAGGAGCGAAAGACUAAAAAGAAUUUUUGUAAUCAUAUAAAUCUCAUUUGAACUAUGCUUCUAAUCAUCAUAUGACCCUGUUUUUUUUUUAAUUAUUGAGCACAAAAAGUUGAAAUCUGGAUAGAAAAACAAAAAAAAAAGUAUGUAAUUGGCCUCAUAGAGAAGAUUAGGUAUUCAACAUGAUGAAAAUUCAGACAUAUGCUUGUCUAUAUUUAAGAAAUUUAAUCAUAGGCCAAAAAUAAACAAAAUCAAAACAGAGAAAUUGAACUGUAAAAUCGAAAGGGCGAAGCUUACUCUUAUGGAGGAAAGUGAAAGCUGUAAAACCCUAGAUCAGAAGAG
rnacentral:lncRNA from 1 species